rnacentral:rRNA from 1 species
UCUAAUACCGGAUAGGACCACACACUUCAUGGUGAGUGGUGCAAAGCUUUUGCGGUGUGGGAUGAGCCCGCGGCCUAUCAGCUUGUUGGUGGGGUAAUGGCCCACCAAGGCGACGACGGGUAGCCGGCCUGAGAGGGUGACCGGCCACACUGGGACUGAGAUACGGCCCAGACUCCUACGGGAGGCAGCAGUGGGGAAUAUUGCACAAUGGGCGCAAGCCUGAUGCAGCGACGCCGCGUGAGGGAUGACGGCCUUCGGGUUGUAAACCUCUUUCAGUAGGGACGAAGCGAAAGUGACGGUACCUACAGAAGAAGGACCGGCCAACUACGUGCCAGCAGCCGCGGUAAUACGUAGGGUCCGAGCGUUGUCCGGAAUUACUGGGCGUAAAGAGCUCGUAGGUGGUUUGUCGCGUUGUUCGUGAAAACUCACAGCUUAACUGUGGGCGUGCGGGCGAUACGGGCAGACUAGAGUACUGCAGGGGAGACUGGAAUUCCUGGUGUAGCGGUGGAAUGCGCAGAUAUCAGGAGGAACACCGGUGGCGAAGGCGGGUCUC